rnacentral:rRNA from 1 species
CCUACGGGUGGCAGCAGUGGGGAAUAUUGGACAAUGGGGGCAACCCUGAUCCAGCCAUGCCGCGUGUGUGAAGAAGGCCCUCGGGUUGUAAAGCACUUUCAGUGAGGAAGAACGCCUGGUGGUUAAUACCCAUCAGGAAAGACAUCACUCACAGAAGAAGCACCGGCUAACUCCGUGCCAGCAGCCGCGGUAAUACGGAGGGUGCGAGCGUUAAUCGGAAUUACUGGGCGUAAAGCGCGCGUAGGUGGCUUGAUAAGCCGGUUGUGAAAGCCCCGGGCUCAACCUGGGAACGGCAUCCGGAACUGUCAAGCUAGAGUGCAGCAGAGGAAGGUAGAAUUCCCGGUGUAGCGGUGAAAUGCGUAGAGAUCGGGAGGAAUACCAGUGGCGAAGGCGGCCUUCUGGACUGACACUGACACUGAGGUGCGAAAGCGUGGGUAGCAAACAGGAUUAGAUACCCCUGUAGUC